rfam:Alteromonas sp. RW2A1 genome.
GCAAGGCAGGUGGGUAAGCGUGCAAAAUAGCGCGAAGCCCGAUACUCAGUCAGACCUGUUUUGU